rnacentral:rRNA from 1 species
AUGAAGGUCUUCGGAUUGUAAAAUUCUGUGGUAAGAGAAGAAAGAUAUAAAGAGGAAAUGCUUUGUAUUUGACGGUAUCUUGCUAGAAAGCCACGGCUAACUACGUGCCAGCAGCCGCGGUAAUACGUAGGUGGCAAGCGUUAUCCGGAAUUACUGGGCGUAAAGAGUGAGCAGGCGGUUAGAUAAGUCUAUGGUUAAAUGCAACAGCUCAACUGUUGUUCGCUAUAGAAACUAUUUAACUAGAGUGCGGGAGAGGUAAGUGGAACUCCAUAUGUAGCGGUGGAAUGCUUAGAUAUAUGGAAGAACACCAGAGGCGAAGGCGGCUUACCAGUCCGUAACUGACGCUCAGUCACGAAAGCGUGGGGAGCAAAUAGGAUUAGAUACCCUAGUAGUCCACGCCGUAAACGAUGAGAACCUGAUGCAGGAGAUAUUCUGUGUCGAAGCUAACGCGUUAAGUUCUCCGCCUGGGUACUACGUUCGCAAGAAUAAAACUUAAAGGAAUUGACGGGCGCCCGCACAAGCAGUGGAGCAUGGGGUUUAAUUCGUCGAUACACGAAAAACCUUACCAGGGCUUGACAUCCCGCUAAAAGCCUUAGAAAUAAGGAAAUAGUUAUAGCGGUGACAGGUGGUGCAUGGUUGUCGUCAGCUCGUGCCGUGAGGUGUUAGGUUAAGUCCUCAAACGAGCGCAACCCUUGUCUUUAGUUGCCAUUAUUAAUUUAGGAACUCUAGAGAGAC